GAUGAACGCUGGCGGCGUGCCUAAUACAUGCAAGUCGAGCGAACAGACGAGGAGCUUGCUCCUCUGACGUUAGCGGCGGACGGGUGAGUAACACGUGGAUAACCUACCUAUAAGACUGGGAUAACUUCGGGAAACCGGAGCUAAUACCGGAUAAUAUAUUGAACCGCAUGGUUCAAUAGUGAAAGACGGUUUUGCUGUCACUUAUAGAUGGAUCCGCGCCGCAUUAGCUAGUUGGUAAGGUAACGGCUUACCAAGGCGACGAUGCGUAGCCGACCUGAGAGGGUGAUCGGCCACACUGGAACUGAGACACGGUCCAGACUCCUACGGGAGGCAGCAGUAGGGAAUCUUCCGCAAGGGGCGAAAGCCUGACGGAGCAACGCCGCGUGAGUGAUGAAGGUCUUCGGAUCGUAAAACUCUGUUAUUAGGGAAGAACAAAUGUGUAAGUAACUAUGCACGUCUUGACGGUACCUAAUCAGAAAGCCACGGCUAACUACG
rnacentral:rRNA from 1 species